rnacentral:rRNA from 1 species
AUUGAACGCUGGCGGCAGGCCUAACACAUGCAAGUCGAGCGGAGCGGCGGACGGGUGAGUAAUACCUAGGAAUCUGCCUGGUAGUGGGGGAUAACGUCCGGAAACGGACGCUAAUACCGCAUACUAUCAGAUGAGCCUAGGUCGGAUUAGCUAGUUGGUGAGGUAAUGGCCUACCAAGGCGACGAUCCGUAACUGGUCUGAGAGGAUGAUCAGUCACACUGGAACUGAGACACGGUCCAGACUCCUACGGUAGGCAGCAGUGGGGAAUAGUGGACAAUGGGCGAAAGCCUGAUCCAGCCAUGCCGCGUGUGUGAAGAAGGUCUUCGGAUUGUAAAGCACUUUAAGUUGGGAGGCGUUACCAACAGAAUAAGCACCGGCUAACUCCGUGCCAGCAGCCGCGGUAAUAC